CCUUACACAUGCAAGUCGAACGGCAGCACGGACUUCGGUCUGGUGGCGAGUGGCGAACGGGUGAGUAAUACAUCGGAACGUGCCUAGUAGUGGGGGAUAACUACUCGAAAGAGUGGCUAAUACCGCAUGAGAUCUACGGAUGAAAGCAGGGGAUCGCAAGACCUUGUGCUACUAGAGCGGCUGAUGGCAGAUUAGGUAGUUGGUGGGAUAAAAGCUUACCAAGCCGACGAUCUGUAGCUGGUCUGAGAGGACGAUCAGCCACACUGGGACUGAGACACGGCCCAGACUCCUACGGGAGGCAGCAGUGGGGAAUUUUGGACAAUGGGCGCAAGCCUGAUCCAGCAAUGCCGCGUGCAGGAUGAAGGCCUUCGGGUUGUAAACUGCUUUUGUACGGAACGAAAAGCUUCGGGCUAAUACCCUGGAGUCAUGACGGUACCGUAAGAAUAAGCACCGGCUAACUACGUGCCAGC
rnacentral:rRNA from 1 species